rnacentral:rRNA from 1 species
UACGUAGGGUGCAGGCGUUAAUCGGAAUUACUGGGCGUAAGGCGUGCGCAGGCGGUUUCUUAAGUCAGAUGUGAAAGCCCCGGGCUUAACCUGGGAACUGCGUUUGAAACUGGGAGACUUGAGUGUGGCAGAGGGGGGUGGAAUUCCACGUGUAGCAGUGAAAUGCGUAGAUAUGUGGAGGAACACCAAUGGCGAAGGCAGCCCCCUGGGUCAACACUGACGCUCAUGCACGAAAGCGUGGGGAGCAAACAGG